rnacentral:miRNA from 1 species
GCAGACACAUUCCAGCCAAUCAGCAGCAGACCCUCCCUCCCAGACCCUUCCACCUCCUGGACAGCUCACUAAAAAUGCAGCUUCACAAUGAAUGUAAAAUGGAUGCUGUCCAGGAGGUGGGAGGGUCUGGGAGGGAGGGUCUGCUGCUGAUUGGCUGGAAUGUGUCUG